UGCAGUCGAGGGGCAGCAUGGGUAGCAAUACCUGAUGGCGACCGGCAAACGGGUGCGGAACACGUACGCAACCUUCCUUCAAGCGGGGAAUAGCCCAGAGAAAUUUGGAUUAAUACCCCAUAAGAAUGUGGACUGGCAUCAGUCAGCAUUUAAAGAUUUAUCACUUGAAGAUGGGCGUGCGUCUGAUUAGAUAGUUGGUGAGGUAACGGCUCACCAAGUCAACGAUCAGUAACUGGCGUGAGAGCGCGAUCAGUCACACGGGCACUGAGACACGGGCCCGACUCCUACGGGAGGCAGCAGUAAGGAAUAUUGGUCAAUGGACGGAAGUCUGAACCAGCCAUGCCGCGUGGAGGAUGAAGGCCCUCUGGGUUGUAAACUUCUUUUAUUUGGGACGAAACACUCUUUUUCUAAGGAGCUUGACGGUACCAGAUGAAUAAGCACCGGCUAACUCCGUGCCAGCAG
rnacentral:rRNA from 1 species